rnacentral:rRNA from 1 species
CAGUAGGGAAUCUUCCGCAAUGGACGAAAGUCUGACGGAGCAACGCCGCGUGAGUGAUGAAGGUUUUCGGAUCGUAAAGCUCUGUUGUUAGGGAAGAACAAGUGCCGUUCAAAUAGGGCGGCACCUUGACGGUACCUAACCAGAAAGCCACGGCUAACUACGUGCCAGCAGCCGCGGUAAUACGUAGGUGGCAAGCGUUGUCCGGAAUUAUUGGGCGUAAAGGGCUCGCAGGCGGUUUCUUAAGUCUGAUGUGAAAGCCCCCGGCUCAACCGGGGAAGGGUCAUUGGAAACUGGGGAACUUGAGUGCAGAAGAGGAGAGUGGAAUUCCACGUGUAGCGGUGAAAUGCGUAGAGAUGUGGAGGAACACCAGUGGCGAAGGCGACUCUCUGUUCUGUAAACUGACGCUGGAGGAGCGAAAGCGUGGGGAGCGAACAGGAUUAGAUACCCUGGUAGUCCAACGCCGUAAAACGAUGAGUGAUAAAGUGUUAGGGGGGUUUCCGCCCCUUAGUGGCUGCAGCUAACGCAUUAAGCAACUCCGCCUGGGGGUACGGUUCGCAAGACUGAAAUUCAAAGGAAUUGACGGGGGGCCCGCACAAAGCGGUGGAGCAUGUGGUUUAAUUCGAAGCAACGCGAAGAACCUUACCAGGUCUUGACAUCCUCUGACAAUCCCUAGAGAUAGGACGUCCCCUUCGGGGGCAGAGUGACAGGUGGUGCAUGGUUGUCGUCAGCUCGUGUCGUGAGAUGUUGGGUUAAGUCCCGCAACGAGCGCAACCCUUGAUCUUAGUUGCCAGCAUUCAGUUGGGCACUCUAAGGUGACUGCCGGUGACAAACCGGAGGAAGGUGGGGAUGACGUCAAAUCAUCAUGCCCCUUAUGACCUGGGCUACACACGUGCUACAAUGGACAGAACAAAGGGCAGCGAAACCGCGAGGUUAAGCCAAUCCCACAAAUCUGUUCUCAGUUCGGAUCGCAGUCUGCAACUCGACUGCGUGAAGCUGGAAUCGCUAGUAAUCGCGGAUCAGCAUGCCGCGGUGAAUACGUUCCCGGGCC